AUUGAACGCUGGCGGCAUGCCUUACACAUGCAAGUCGAACGGCAGCACGGACUUCGGUCUGGUGGCGAGUGGCGAACGGGUGAGUAAUGUAUCGGAACGUACCCUUCAGUGGGGGAUAGCUAUCCGAAAGGAUAGCUAAUACCGCAUAUUCUCUGAGGAGGAAAGCGGGGGAUCGCAAGACCUCUCGCUGAUGGAGCGGCCGAUAUCAGAUUAGCUAGUUGGUGGGGUAAAGGCCUACCAAGGCGAGGAUCUGGAGCGGGUCUGAGAGGAUGAUCCGCCACACUGGGACUGAGACCCGGCCCAGACUCCUACGGGAGGCAGCAGUGGUGAAUUUUGGAAAAGGGGAGCAACCCUGAUCCAGCCAUGCCGCGUGAGUGAAGAAGGCCUUCGGGUUGUAAAGCUCUUGCGGCCGGGAAGAAAUCGCGUGAGUUAAUACCUUGCGUGGAUGACGGUACCGGAAUAAGAAGCACCGGCUAACUACGUGCCAGCAGCCGCCGUAAUAC
rnacentral:rRNA from 1 species